AUGGCCAGUCCGCCCCUGGUCCAGGGUAGAUUCACUAUCUCCAGAGAUGACUCCAGCAGUAAAGUGUAUCUGCAGAUGAACAGUCUGAAGGCCGAGGACACAGCAGUGUAUUACUGUGCCAGAAGAGACACAGUGAGAGACAGUGUUGAUGGUCAGACUCUGACAGAAUCUGAACCAGUGACUAAAAGGCCUGGAGAAUCUCACAGAUUGACCUGUACUACUUCUGGAUUCUCAUUCGGCUACUACAUUGCCUGGAUCAGACAGGCUCCUGGAAAAGGACUGGAGUGGAUCGCUUCGAUCCACCCUACUAGCAGUGCCAACAUCUACUACUCUGAGUCAGUGAAAGGCCGGUUCACCGGCUCCAGCAACAGCAGACAGCAGGUGUAUCUGCAGAUGAACAGUCUGACGGCUGUAGACUCUGCUGUUUAUUACUGUGCUCGAGACGCACAGUGA